UUAGUGGAAUUCCUAAAUCAAACCAUUUUUUGAAGUAUUUUUUUUUUUUGUAGAAAUGGCGACGGCGGCUGCGACAUCGUCCGGAAUGGCCGGAACGACGACGUUGGCUGGCCAAUCCGAGUGUGGACGAAGCAACUGUUGAAGUGACGGAGUUGUCGGUGCGGAAAUGCGACGGCUACCCCGGGACCUACUGUGGACAGCGGUGUCCGUGCUAUGUCAUUUCCAAGUCCUGUUUGGACCUGGUGGAGUGUCGGGGAUGUUGGAACCUGCGUCGGGACGAUGGUGGGAAGGUCCGCCCUCACAUUCCAGAGCUACAGAACCUAGAGAUCAACCUGCACAACGCAACGGCAAGCGAGGCACUCUCCAUAGCCACGACCAUCGUACUGUCGCCCUAAUCCACCAGCAACGUAAACCCGAUAGUCGGUUCCGGCCCGGGAGGUGGCCAAAAUCUACGACAAGCUUACUUAUAAAAAAAAUACAAAUUCAAUGUGAUGUGAACUGGGAAGAGAACAAAAUUUAAACGAAAUAUAAGAAAAAACUAACUUGUUUUUAACUUAAUGAACCGCAUGCGUGGAUAACUUUACUAAAAAAAGUCAAGUGUUUUAUCUCGAGCUGAGAUUCGAGCAUCUCGCUGAUAAAAUUUGUAAAGGCCUUGAGAAAAAAAUUGUUUGAAAGGUCUGGCUAAAGAUUCCAAAGAAAUCAACUACAUACACCAAAGAACAGAAAGCUUAGAUUAAUUGUGUGGCUUGAAGAGCCAAUGAUUCCUGAACCGACCCAGUUGAAGAUCGCAAAAAAAAAGACCAGGACAUCGCGCGGAUCAAACGGAUGUGACCCAUUUAACGGUGCCCUCUCCCAAUUGCCCUCUUUACACAGAAAUUCUAACUGCCUUAAUUCUGGGAAGAGGCACCAUGUCAAACCACCAUAUUCGAAUGAAUAGAGUAUCAAUAAAAGAAAGUAGUUCAAUUUUAAUUAA